UCGUUGGCGGCUUCUUAUUACAUGCAGUCGAGCGGACAGAUGGGAGCUUGCUCCCUGAUGUUAGCGGCGGACGGGUGAGUAACACGUGGGUAACCUGCCUGUAAGACUGGGAUAACUCCGGGAAACCGGGGCUAAUACCGGAUGCUUGUUUGAACCGCAUGGUUCAAACAUAAAAGGUGGCUUCGGCUACCACUUACAGAUGGACCCGCGGCGCAUUAGCUAGUUGGUGAGGUAACGGCUCACCAAGGCAACGAUGCGUAGCCGACCUGAGAGGGUGAUCGGCCACACUGGGACUGAGACACGGCCCAGACUCCUACGGGAGGCAGCAGUAGGGAAUCUUCCGCAAUGGACGAAAGUCUGACGGAGCAACGCCGCGUGAGUGAUGAAGGUUUUCGGAUCGUAAAGCUCUGUUGUUAGGGAAGAACAAGUACCGUUCGAAUAGGGCGGUACCUUGACGGUACCUAACCAGAAAGCCACGGCUAACUACGUGCCAGCAGCCGCGGUAAUACGUAGGUGGCAAGCGUUGUCCGGAAUUAUUGGGCGUAAAGGGCUCGCAGGCGGUUUCUUAAGUCUGAUGUGAAAGCCCCCGGCUCAACCGGGGAGGGUCAUUGGAAACUGGGGAACUUGAGUGCAGAAGAGGAGAGUGGAAUUCCACGUGUAGCGGUGAAAUGCGUAGAGAUGUGGAGGAACACCAGUGGCGAAAGCGACUCUCUGGUCUGUAACUGACGCUGAGGAGCGAAAGCGUGGGGAGCGAACAGGAUUAGAUACCCUGGUAGUCCACGCCGUAACGAUGAGUGCUAGUGUUAGGGGGUUUCCGCCCCUUAGUGCUGCAGCUACGCAUUAAGCACCUCCGCCUGGGGGAGUACGGUCGCAAGACUGAACUCAAAAGGAUUGACGGGGCCGCACAAGCCGUGAGCAUGGUGGUUUAUCCGAGCACGCGAGACUACAGUCUGGACAUCUCUGACAUCUAGAGAUAGACGUCCUCGGGGCGACUGACUGUGGUGCAUGUGUCGUCAGCUCUGUCUGAAGGUGGGUAAGUCCGCAACGAGCCACUGACUAGUGCAGCAUCAUGGCACCUUACGGUAUGCUGUCUCUUAGUUGCCAGCAUUCAGUUGGGCACUCUAAGGUGACUGCCGGUGACAAACCGGAGGAAGGUGGGGAUGACGUCAAAUCAUCAUGCCCCUUAUGACCUGGGCUACACACGUGCUACAAUGGACAGAACAAAGGGCAGCGAAACCGCGAGGUUAAGCCAAUCCCACAAAUCUGUUCUCAGUUCGGAUCGCAGUCUGCAACUCGACUGCGUGAAGCUGGAAUCGCUAGUAAUCGCGGAUCAGCAUGCCGCGGUGAAUACGUUCCCGGGCCUUGUACACACCGCCCGUCACACCACGAGAGUUUGUAACACCCGAAGUCGGUGAGGUAACCUUUAGGAGCCAGCCGCCGAAGGUGAACAAAAG
rnacentral:rRNA from 1 species